rnacentral:lncRNA from 1 species
GAUUUAUCGACGAACUCGUUACCAGGCAUUCCGGGGAGGUUCCGCUUCCUCUUGGCAGGCGGAGGCGGCGGGGGCGGUUGCUGUCCAGUCGACGAGAUACUCGCCUCUCCGGAGGCCGAGUUAGAUGCCGUCAUGGCGGAGGUAUUUUCAAUCUCCGUCGGCAUCCUACACGACGAGACGAGCCUCUCCGAUUCGUUCGUUCGAUCCAAUGUCUGAUCCCCAGCUCCCAACAAAAUUCAGGGGCUGCUCUCGAUCGACAGGAGACACUAAAAAAAAUCAAUACAGGAAGCAAACCAGUCGUCGGAAUCCAAGCCGCUCCAACUACCAGUCCACUUCGCCGGACAACCAGGGACCGACGGCUCCGUCGCCGGCUAUCAGCCCGGUAGAUAGCCCCCGAGGACAGCGAGUCCACUUCAGAUAGAACAGAACCCCGUCGUGGAGCUCCUCCCGGGCUCCGAGCAUCUUCCGGUCGACAGAUCCCGACCCUUCUUCACCUCGCCGGCGACUGCCGCGGCGCCAUCCUGGCGCCACCAAACCCCGUCCUCCGCAGGCUCCCGACGUCGAAACCGAAAAAUUCGCGGCGCCAGGGUUUCACAGUCGGACAAGAAAGGACGAGGUCGUCUAUGGCGGUCGCAUUACUCCGCAGUGGGAAAAGGAAAUCCAGAGAGAG